rnacentral:rRNA from 1 species
AGAGUUAAAUAGUACGUGAAAUUGUUGAAAGGGAAACGAUUGAAGUCAGUGUUGCGUCUAGGAAAUCAGCUAGGAGGACUUGUGGCAGUGGGGGUUAGGAAGAGUGCUAUAACACCUUUCUUCCUCACUGGUCCCUUGUUAGACUGGUGCACUUUUCUAGAUGCAGGUCAACAUCAGUUUUGGCCGACGUACAAAGCUUCAAGGAAGGUAGCGAUCACCUCGGUGGUCGUGUUAUAGCCUUGAUUCUAUGCGCCGGUUGGGACUGAGGAACGCAGUGCGAGUCCCUUCGGGGCUUGGGCCUACGGUGGCUUUCUUGAUCCCUGGUUUAGACUGCUUGCAGACUGAAUCCGCCGGUUAGGAAAAUCUGCCGCAAGGUCGCAAUUCGCGCUAAGGAUGUUGACGAAAUGGCUUUAAACGACC